CCUGACGGAGCAACGCCGCGUGAGUGAUGACGGCCUUCGGGUUGUAAAACUCUGUGAUCCGGGACGAAAAGGCAGAGUGCGAAGAACAAACUGCAUUGACGGUACCGGAAAAGCAAGCCACGGCUAACUACGUGCCAGCAGCCGCGGUAAUACGUAGGUGGCAAGCGUUGUCCGGAAUUAUUGGGCGUAAAGCGCGCGCAGGCGGCUUCCCAAGUCCCUCUUAAAAGUGCGGGGCUUAACCCCGUGAUGGGAAGGAAACUGGGAAGCUGGAGUAUCGGAGAGGAAAGUGGAAUUCCUAGUGUAGCGGUGAAAUGCGUAGAGAUUAGGAAGAACACCGGUGGCGAAGGCGACUUUCUGGACGAAAACUGACGCUGAGGCGCGAAAGCGUGGGGAGCAAACAGGAUUAGAUACCCUGGUAGUCCACGCCGUAAACGAUGGAUACUAGGUGUAGGAGGUAUCGACCCCUCCUGUGCCGGAGUUAACGCCAUAAGUAUCCCGCCUGGGGAAGUACGAUCGCAAGAUUAAAACUCAAAGGAAUUGACGGGGGGCCCGCACAAGCGGUGGAGUAUGUGGUUUAAUUCGACGCAACGCGAAGAACCU
rnacentral:rRNA from 1 species